AGCAGCCGCGGUAAUUCCAGCUCCAAUAGCGUAUAUUAAAGUUGUUGCAGUUAAAAAGCUCGUAGUUGAAUUUCGGGAUCAAUAUGUUUGGUCGUGCCUCGGUACGUACUAGCUUAUUGGUUUCUCCUUUCUGAAGAACCAUGAUGUCAUUUAUUUGGUGUCGUGGGGAAUCAGGACUGUUACUUUGAAAAAAUUAGAGUGUUUAAAGCAGGCUCACGCUUGAAUACAUUAGCAUGGAAUAAUGAAAUAGGACGUUUGAUUCUAUUUUGUUGGUUUCUAGGAUCGACGUAAUGAUUAAUAGGGAUAGUUGGGGGCAUUAGUAUUCAAUUGUCAGAGGUGAAAUUCUUGGAUUUAUUGAAGACUAACUACUGCGAAAGCAUUUGCCAAGGAUGUUUUCAUUAAUCAAGAACGAAAGUUAGGGGAUCGAAGACGAUCAGAUACCGUCGUAGUCUUAACCAUAAACUAUGCCGACUAGGGAUCGGAUGAUGUUAAUUUUUUAAUGACUCAUUCGGCGCCUUACG
rnacentral:rRNA from 1 species